CGUCUUCUUGCAGCUGCGGAAUCAGUGCUGUUUUGGACUCUGAUGUACCGUACAUACCAGCAUGUAGCUAUAUUUGGAUGAGCUUACAUGUACAUGUACCUUCGUGGAAUCGCCGAUCUUCAACCUACUUGCCUUUGCUGAUUUGCUGCCAUAGCGCAACUCUGCCUGCAAGAAAUGAAUUCGAAAUGAAUUCGAAACGGGAGUUGACGGACGUUCUCUCAUUGAGUUUCUCGUGCUAAGUGGUAAGGGUUAGGGAGUACCUAAAUGGGAAGUUUUCACGACAUGGGGACCUGGCAUGCUGAAGAUUGGCUUCCAAAAAGGAUCAAAAUUUAAAAAAUUUAAAAAUUCAAAAUUCAAAAAUAGAAAUAAGCUUGGCGGCUGCUGGCUAAACCUCGG
rnacentral:sRNA from 1 species